rnacentral:lncRNA from 1 species
UGUACAUUAGGUUCAGACAUAUUAGCAUUGGAAUAUGUCUGACUCCUAUGUUGUGCUUUUUCAGUAUCCUGGUAUGCAACAAUUAUUAUCCAGAUAUUAUCAAAGAUCCAUUUAGUUGCUCUCGACUCGUCCUCGCGUUGCCAUGUCUUUCAUCCGGCGUUGACAGAUAUCUUCUAAGUACCCUUGAAUUGUCCAUGUUAUCAAGGGAUCUCAGGCGUGGGUUUUCUAUAAAACAAAGACGACAUCGAAACCAGAGUUAGUGAAACUACAAACAUGCUAUAAAUGUGAAGGCUAUAUGACAAAAAAAACUGUACUGCAAACUCGGUGAAGUAUCUUUUUGUAUCUGACGAGGCACACAUGUCCAACUAUAUUAGGGACCAUUAAAUUUGUUUGUAAAUUUUUUAGUAAUCUUCCUCACCAGUCUUCAUUUCUUGUCGUGAGUAAACUUUAGACAAGGAGGAUAUAUAAAUAUAACGGGGACCUCGAGUUCACUGAAUGAGACAGCGAAGAUGUUAAAAGUUAAUGAAGAAUAAGAAGAAAGUAAAAAAGCUCUUGAGGGAAGCAGAAUAGUUGUGGUUCAUGCUUAAUCUUCAGUCAAAUAUCUGAGAUGGACCAAGUCAACACGUCGAAUUCUAAAAAUUGUUGAAAAUGAGAAAAAAAACUAAUUUACCUAUUUCUUUAUUCUUUAAAGACUUCAAAAUUGUUAAAAGUUGAUAUUUUUAGAAACAUUUUGUAAAUUCGAGUUGACUCAAAUUUUGGUAUUUUGUUUAUGUAAUUCAUUAGGUCAUCUUGAAUUAUCCAAAUUAUAUGAACUAUCCAUGUAAGUCAUUGAGGAAUGUUUUUUAAAAUCAAUUUAUGUUUACAAAAGGUUUAAAAAAUGUCAGCUUUAAGAAACGUAGAAGUCAUUAAAAAGGAGAAUAAACAAAAAAAAAAUUAUCUUCAUAAGACUUUUAAGGACUCUACGUUGGUGGCUCAGUCCCUUUCGAAUUCUUGGCCCAAGAAAAAGUAUGAGCCACAACUACUCCCAUUCUCCGAAGAGCUUCUCCACUUUCUUCUUUUUCUUCAGUAACUUUCAACAUCCUCUUCAUCGCCUUCGGUGAGUUUGAUGUCCCUACCCUAUACAUAUCUCCUCCUCCUCCAGGACUAAUGAUCAUUUCCUUCCAUAAUAUGCACUCAACAAAUUAAUUUAGAUAUUUCACUACCUCUUUGGUCGAUGAACUUGUAUUGUUUCUUCUUUUGGACACAUAAGACACUUCAAAAGUUAGCAAUAAAAAGCGGUUUACCACAAACCAUUUUGAUGAGAACUCUUGAAGUGGCCUUGAUGUGUCUAAAAGAAAAAGCCAACAAUCAGUGAGGUAGUGAACGAAAUUACAAUGUUGAGUACACAAUGAGUAAGGAAAGGAAUAUUAGCCUUAGACAAGGAUGAUAUAUGGAUAGAAUGGGGACAUCAAGUUCACCGAAUGAGACGGCGAGAAUGUUAAAAGUUAAUGAAGAAGAAUAAGAAAGUAAAGAAGGUCUUGAGAGAAGCAGAGUAGUCGUGGUUCAAGCUUAAUCUUCUAUCAAAUAUUCGAGAGUCACUAAGCCAACACGUCGAUUCCUUAAUAUUGUUGAAAAUGAAACAACAAAUAUUUUCCUAUUUCUUUAUUCUUUAAGUACUUCAAAGUUGUUUAAAGUUGAUAUUUUUGAGAAACAUUUUGUAAACUCUAAUUGACUCAAAUUUUGGUCAUUUGUUUAUGUAAGUCAUUGGAUCAAAUUGAAUAAUCCAAAUUACAUGAAUUAUCCAUGUAAGUCAUUGAGGAUUUUUAAAAAAAAAAACAAUUUAUGUUAAAAAAUAUAGAAGUCAUUAAAGAAGAGAAAAUAAACCAAUAAAAUUUCUCUUCAUAAGACUUUUAAGGACUCGGCAUUGGUGGCUCAGGCCCUCUCGGAUUCAUGGGCCAAGAAAAAGCAUGAGCCACAACUACUCCCCUUCUAUAAAUAUUUUCUCCACUUUUUUUUUUUCUUCAAUAACUUCCAACAUCCUUGUCAUCUCAUUUGGCGAGCUUGAUGUUCCUACCCUUUCCAUAUCUCUGCCUCCUCCAGGACUAAAGAUCCUUUCCCUCCAUAAUAUGCACUCAACAAAUUAAUUUAGAUAUUUCACUGGCUCGCUGGUCGAUGGCUUUGUGUGCGUUUCUUCUUAUGGACACAUAUAAAAUACUUCAAAAGUUAGCAAUAAAAGAUGGUAUCUCAUACGUUUUGAUGAGAACUCUUGAAGUGACCUUUAUGUGUCUAGAAAAGUAAACAGACCAACAAUCAGCGAGGUAGUGAACGAAAUUACAAUGUUGAGUACACAAUAGGAAAAUAACAUUAGGCUUGGAAAAAGAGGAUAUAUGGAUAGAACGGGGACAUCAAGCUCACCGAAUGAGAUGCUGAGGAUGUUAAAGGUUAAUGAAGAAGAAGAAGAAAGUAAAGAACCUCUUUACCAAAGCAGAGUAGUCGUUGUUAAGGCUUAAUCUUCGGUUAGAUAUCCGAAAGGGACUAAGCCAACACAUCGUUUCCUUCAAAAUUGUUGAAACUGAAAAAAAAAAUUAUUUGCCUAUUUCUUUUUUCUUUAAUGACAUUAAAGUUGUUUAAAUUUGAUAUUUUUAGAUUAUUUUUGUAACUCUAAUUGACACAAGUUUUACUCUUUUGUUUAUGGUAGUCAUUGUGUAAACUUGAAUUAUCCAAAUUACAUGAAUUAUCCAUGUAACAUUGAGGAAGUUUUAAGAUAAUCAAUUUAUGUUUACAAAACAUUUCAAAAAUGUCAACUUUCAGAAACAUAGAGUCAUUAUAGAGGAGAAAAUAAACAAAUAAAAAUUCCUUGUUUUUUUUUUGACAGCUAAAAUAUUUUCUUCAUAGGACUUUUAAGGAUUCUACGUUAGUGGCUCAGUCCCUCUCGGAUUCCUGGCCCAAGAAAAAGCAUGAGCCACAACUACUCCCCUUCUCUAAAGAGAUUCUCCACUUUCUUCUUUUUCUUCAUUAAAUUUCAACAGCCUCGUCGUCUAAUUAAGUGAGCUUGAUGUCCCUACCCUAUCCAAAUCUCCGUCUCCUCCAGGACUAAAGAUCAUUUCCCUCCACAAUAUGCACUCAACAAAUUAAUUUAGAUAGUUCAAUACCUCGAUGGUCGAUGGCCAUCUGUGUGUUUCUUCUUUUGGACAAAUAUAAGACACUUCAAAAGUUAGCAAUAAAAGAUUGUUUCUCAGAAACCGUUUUGAUGAGAAUUCUUGUAGUGGACUUUAUGUGCCUAAAAGAUAAAGCAAACACUAGACCAACAAUCAACAAGGUAGUGAACGAAAUUACAAUGUUGAGUACACAAUGCGUAAGGAAAGGAACAUUAGGCUUGGAAAAGGAGGAUAUAUAGAUAGAACGGGGACAUCGAGCUCACCGAAUGAGACUGUGAGAAUGUUAAAUGUUAGUGAAGAAGAAGAAGAAGAGAGUAAAGAACCUUUUUACCAAAGUAGAGUAGUCGUGGUUCAGGCUUAAUCUUCCGUCAGAUAUCCGAAAGGGACUAAGCUAACGCAUCAUUUUCUUCAAAAUUGUUGAAACUGAAAAAACAAUUAUUUGCCUAUUUCUUUUUUCUUUAUUGACUUUAAAGUUGUUUAAAGUUGAUAUUUUUUAGAAACUCUUUGUAAACUCUAAUUGACUCUAAUUUUGGUAUUUUGUUUAUGUUAGUUAUUGGGUCAAUUUGAAUUAUGCAUGUAAGUCAUUGAGGAAAUUUUUUUUAAAAAAAGCAAUUUAUGUUUACAAAAGGUUUCAAAAAUGUUAACUUUUAGAAACAUAGAAGUCAUUAAAAAGGAGAAUAAACAAAAAAAAAAUUAUCUUCAUAAGACUUUUAAGGACUCUACGUUGGUGGCUCAGUCCCUUUCGAAUUCUUGGCCCAAGAAAAAGUAUGAGCCACAACUACUCCCAUUCUCCGAAGAGCUUCUCCACUUUCUUCUUUUUCUUCAGUAACUUUCAACAUCCUCUUCAUCGCCUUCGGUGAGUUUGAUGUCCCUACCCUAUACAUAUCUCCUCCUCCUCCAGGACUAAUGAUCAUUUCCUUCCAUAAUAUGCACUCAACAAAUUAAUUUAGAUAUUUCACUACCUCUUUGGUCGAUGAACUUGUAUUGUUUCUUCUUUUGGACACAUAAGACACUUCAAAAGUUAGCAAUAAAAAGCGGUUUACCACAAACCAUUUUGAUGAGAACUCUUGAAGUGGCCUUGAUGUGUCUAAAAGAAAAAGCCAACAAUCAGCGAGGUAGUGAACGAAAUUACAAUGUUGAGUACACAAUGAGUAAGGAAAGGAACAUUAGCCUUAGACACGGAGAAUAUAUGGAUAGAAUGGGGACGUCGAGCUCACCGAAUGAGACGGCGAGGAUGUUAAAAGGUUAAUGAAGAAGAAGAAGAGACUAAAAAACCUUUUUAUCAAAGCAGAGUUGUCGUGGGUCAGGCUUAAUCUUUUGUCAGAUAUCCGAGAGGGACUAAGUCGAUACGUCCUUUCCUUAAAAUUGUUGAAAAUGAGAAAAAAAAUUAUUUGCCUAUUUCUUUAUUCUUUAAUGACUUCAAAGUUGUUUAAAAUUUAUAUAUUUUUAGACACUUUUUGUAUACUCUAAUUGACUCAAACUUUUGUCUUUUGUUUAUGUUAGUCAUUGGGUCAACUUGAAUUAUCCAAAUUACAUGAAUUAUCCAUGUAAGUCAUUGAGGAAUUUUUGUAAAAAUCAAUUUAUGGUUACAAAAGGUUUCAAAAAUGUCAACUUUAAGAAACAAAUAAUUCAUUUAAGAAGAGAAGAUAAACAGAAAAAAAUUAUCUUCAUAAAACUUUUAAGGACUCGGCGCUGGUGGCUCAGUCCCUCUCGGAUUCCUGGCCCAAGAAAAAACAUGAGCCACAACUACUCCCCUUCUCUAAAGAGCUUCUCCAUUUUCUUCUUUAUCUUCAUUAACUUUCAACACCCUCGCCGUUUUCAUUCGGUGUGCUUGAUGUCCCUACCCUAGUUAUAUCUCAGCCUCCUCCAGGACUAACAAUUCUUUUACUCCACAAUAUGCACUCAACAAAUUAAUUUAGAUAUUUCACUACCGAGAUGGUCGAUGGCCUUGUGUGUGUUUCUUCUUUUGGACACAUAUUAGACACUUCAAAAGUUAGCAAUAAAGGACGGUUUCUCAAAUUCCGUUCUGAUGAGAAUUCUUGAAGUGGCCUUUAUGUGUCAAAUUUUGGUCUUUCGUUUAUGUAAGUCAUUGGGUAAUCUUGAAUUCUCCUAGUGGUGGAAAAUUGAUUUUGGUUCAGUUAUUUUAGUGGUUGGCUUAUUUUUUUCCAACAAUAUGUGAGUUUGGAACCUGGUGAUUAGACAUCAACGUUUGGCAAAAGCUUUAAUCAAGUUUUAUCAAGGGAAUGUUCGUACAACAAGCUUUUUGUCAGGAUCCUAGCUUGUGGGAAAGGGUGCUAAGAAGUAAGUACAAAGUAGGUGAUGUUCAGGAUCCCAGGUGGCUGAAGCCCAAGAGCAGCUGGUCAUCUACUUGGCGGAGUAUCGGGGUAGGGAUGAGGGAGGUGGUAGCUAGGGGCAUUGGCUGGGUUCCUGGAGAUGGGAAGACUAUUUGAUUCUGGGCUGACCGCUGGCUAUUAGAGAAACCACUGCUUGAGUUUGUAACGGGCACGCUACCGGAUGACGAGAAGGCUAAUACAGCGGAGAAGUACUGGAUGUUGGGAUCGGGUUGGGACAUGGUAAAGCUGCGCCAUUUCUUGCCACUAAACAUCACAAGAAGAUUGUUUUCUGUGGUGUUGCAUGAUUUUCCAGGGACGAGAGAUGAGCUGUCUUGGAAGGGUCAUCUGGAUGGGCAGUUUACAAUUAGAUCAGCGUACGCGUUACUAAAACCUGAGAUGGAGGACAAGCCGUGUAUGUAGAGAUUCUACAAGAGGUUAUGGAGGUUGGUAGCGCCGGAACGGGUUCGGGUAUUCAUCUGGUUGGUGUCACAUCAGGUGAUAAUGACUAAUGUUGAGAGAGUACGGAGACAUGUAGGGGAGAGUGCAGUAUGUCCGAUAUGUAAUGGGGCGGAUGAGUCGAUUAUACAUGUGUUGAGGGACAGUCCGGCGAUGUCGGGACUGUGGCGAAGGCUACUUCCCCCGAGGAGACAGGAUUUGUUUUUCCAGAAGUCUUUGUUGGAAUGGGUCUUUGACAAUCUGGAUCCUGCUAAGGAUAACUGGCCAACGAUGUUCAAUAUGGCGGUUUGGUGGGCCUGGAAGUGGAGGUGUAGGGAUGUCUUUGGGGAACGGAAACUAUGCAGGGAUAGGUUAAAGUUCAUUAAAGAUUUGGCGGAGGAAGUGCGCAGGGCGCAUGCGGGGACCUUGAACAGUUCGCAGCCACAUGCACGAGUGGAGAGGUUGAUUCGGUGGCUGGCAGCAAAUGAGGGAUGGGUGAAGAUUACGACUGAUGGUGCGUCCCGUGGGAACCCUGGACUGGCUACCGCGGGAGGGGCAAUCCGGAAUGCGGAUGGAGAGUGGCUUGGCGGGUUCGCUAAAUAUUGGCUCAUGCUCUGCGCCAUUGGCUGAAUUAUGGGGUGCAUAUUAUGGUUUGCUUAUUGCAUGGGAUAAGGGCUUUCGACGGGUGAAGUUAGACUUGGAUUCUGAGUUGGUGGUUGGAUUUCUAAAGUCAGGAAUGAGUAAUGCUCAUCCGCUGGCGUUCCUGGUACGUUUGUUUCACGGCUUCUUCACAAGGGACUGGUUAGUCCGGAUUAAUCACGUGUAUAGGGAAGCUAACCGUCUAGCUGACGGGUUAGCGAACUAUGCUUUCACACUACCUUUAGGUUUACAUUUAUUUGAGACGUGUCCAGAGGCGGUCCUUUUGAUUUUGUUAGAGGACGCCAAUGGGAUAGCGUUUCCAAGAACUGUUCGGUUGUAAUUUUUUUGUAGUUUUCAUUAAUAAAAUACGGGAGGCAAUUGUCUCCCCUCCGCCUACCCAAAAAAAACAAGUUUUUUGUCUGAAAAAUGGUCUCCUCUUGGAGUUAUUGAUCUCAUUGGCAGCAAUUGUUCUUUAACCCUCAGUAUCCCGAUUAAGGCAUAAAUUGCAUAGGCAUGCAAUCACUUGUAAUAAUUCUAACUUGAUCUAUAAGCAUUUAGAUAUGUCAUGCCUCAUUCUUCCUUGUGAAUCCAUAUGGUAAAAACUACAUAUGAUCGUUGUGCACUUGCAGCAUCUUAGCAUGUCAGAAUUAAAAUAUUUAUGUAUCUAAUUUGUUUGGUAAAAACUAUACGCAGAUCAAGUAUUAUAAUUUUACUAGGUGAUCAUCCGCUCUACGCUGCGGAUUUUGUCUUGUUUAUUUAAUGUUAUGUUAUGAGAAAUGUAAUUUUUUUUAAUUAUCUAAUCAUUCAGUCAUGUUAGGUGCGUGAGUUAUUGAAAGCAAUUUUUUGUGGGAAGGAGAUAAAUCUUGGUAUACAGUACAUCUAGACAGCACCAAGAUGUAUCAGAAACAUAAACUUUUUUUAUCAUCAAAUUAAAAUAGUAUGAAGUGUGAUGGUGGAGUGUUUUUAUACAAGUGUUUGGUAAGCCAGCAGGUAAACUAUAAGCAUUACACAUUCUAGAGUAGAAGUGGAAAAAGUUUCUACAGAUUAUAUCACUGUACUUGCUCGUCAUUACCACCAAGGAUGCGACCGUUUGUUCUCUCUUGCCUAGUUUUUUUAAGUAACGUUUAUUAUUAUGCUUACUUUGUAUUAAUAUCUCUGGCUUUUUAAUUCGUUUUUUUUUUAAUUAUAGAAGCUCUCAUCCCCAUAGCAUAUGGUAAUAUUAAUAUUCUAUUUUAGUAAUAGAAUUUCACAUUUUAUCAAAGAAAAAAAAAAGAGUAUAAAAAAGACUACUAAACCGAUAUAGUCUUUUAUUUUAUUUUUUACUUUGAUUUUCCAUAGAACUAAAAACCAGAUUAACCAAAGAGUUUUUAUGGUUAUCGAAUCAAAAAUUUAUGCAUUUCCUAGAGGGAGAUAAGCAUUUGCUUUAGACCACAACAUAUAUACCAAAAAUUAAAGAUGUUUAAAGAUAUUUAAAGCUUGGGGGUUGAUUGGUAUGGUUGUAGAAGUUAUGGGAAGACAAAAAGUUUCUCUUACGGCACCAAAAAAAAAACCUACAGCACCAAAAAAAUAAAUUAUUUCCCUUUUUCUAAGUUAAAUCUCUAAAGACAACUUUUUGGUGCUGUAUAAAUCUCUAAAUCUACAUCCAUUACUGAUCAGACCCUUUAGAUUCUUUAAAGUAUUUAAGCGUAUAGAAGGACUUUGGUUUUCCUAUGAUAAAUCAAAUGAUUUAAUCAUUAGUAAUAAACACUUUUUCAUAAAUCAGGAAUACCCAUAGGUGAUAGAUUUAUACAAUAAAUAUUCUCUUUUCUUAUUUCAGCAAAAUUUUGUUCUUUAAAACAGUUUUAUAUGUGGUUAUAUUAUAUUUUACCAAACCUACAUUUUCAUCGUUAGAUCUUAACAUCGUUAUAUCUUAACAUAUCAUAAUUCUUUUAAAAUACCUAAAACAUUCCAAUGAAAAAGAACAUAUAUUCACAAAUCAAUGAUACAUGAGCAAAACUAAUAUUCAAAUAUUAAAAACUGGUAUGAAAUCAAACAAAUAUAAAUUUUAAAAUUUGUUAUUAUUCUAAACAUACCUUUUGAAAGCAUAAUUGACGUCAUGAUAUUUUCCUUGAAGCCUCAAAAUAUCAAGCGAAUUUAUAUAGAAUAUAUCUAUGGAGCUUCCAAGUUUCUUAUGUUCUAAUAUUGCAGUGUGGUUGAAUUGAGAACCUUAUAUAUAGAUGAAAGAAAAGUUAAAAUAGAUAAAGAACAUAUUGAAUAACAUUGAAUCAUUGAUACUGCCUUUUUCGACUAUUCAAAAUCGUCACUCUGUUUAUAUAAAUUUAUCUAAUAUGAAAAUGUUUUAACAAAAAGAGAAAAUACACAUUAUCGAGAAAUAAUUAAGAUCAUAUCUUAUCUGGUUUCAAUCCCACUCUUGAACGAUGAAAAAAUAUAAUUUGACUGUUGUUCCAAAAACAAAAAAAAUCAGAUUUUGUAAUCGAUUUGAAAUCUAUAGAAAAAUCUUUUCGAUCUUAAUUGUAGCAGGAAUCAAAUCAUAAUAAAAUGAAAAAUUAGUUUUACCAAAGAACAGAUUAUGAAAGAAAAAUGAAAGAUUUAAUCACAAUGAUCCCAUGAGAAAUAUUAUAUCCUAAAAAAAUAAACAGCUAUUCCAAAAUAAUGGAAAUUGAAUGAUUAGACUAUGUACAAUGGUUUUAAAUUACAACACACUACUUUUUACCUUUUAACAUUCCACAUCAUCAUCUCUUUUCCACAUCAUAAUUCAACACUCAUUUUACUUUUAUAUUUUACAAUGAUUUUAGAAAAACAUGUUGAAUAAGCUUGAAGAAUUGAAGAUAACUUGAAGAGGAAGUCUUUUGUUUAAAACCAAGUUAUGGAUAAUUAGAGAUAAUAUUAAGAAUAUAUUAGGAGUUAUCUAAUAUGUUGUAAUUCCUAUUAGGGUUAGGAAUUGUAUCCUCCUAUAAAUAGAGGUCGAGUUAUGACAUUAGGAGAUAUGAGAGUUUAUGAGUUGUAGAGAGAACUUGAGAGAUUAAGGUUUUGGAUGUAUGUUUUGAGUUAGUUUCAUACAAUAAAAGAGAGAGUCUUUUAUAUUCAUAACCUUGAUAUUGUUCUUAAAGCUUUUGGAUACAAGAUUUGGUAUCAGAGCUAAUAUUGUUCACGAUCACGAGGAAAAACAAAGCACGAUCACGAGAAGGUGAUCUGUGAAGAAACAUGGGAGAUUUGAUCCCAGUAGGUGAUAACAAGGAAGGAGGAGGCUCCUCCUCUAUCAAAUGUCCGAUGCUAACUCCUACAAACUAUACGUUCUGGACUAUACGCAUGACGAUGGCUCUAAAGGUUCAUAAAGUCUGGGACGCUAUAGAACCGGGAUCAACGGAUGUUGACAAGAACAACAUGGCUAGUGCUCUUCUUCUGCAGUCUAUCCCUGAAGCACUAACACUGCAAGUCAGGAAACUAAACACUGCAAAGAGGAUAUGGGAUGCGAUUAAAUCUAGAAACCUAGGAGCUGAUAGGGUUAAAGAUGCAAGACUAUAAACCCUAAUGGGUGAGCUUGAGAGAAUUAAGAUGAAAGAAACAGAGAAGAUAGAUGAUUUUGCAGGACGACUCUCAGAAUUAUCUACAAAGGCUGCAUCACUUGGACAUGACAUUGAAGAACCAAAACUUGUUAAGAAAUUCUUGAAUGGUUUGCCAAGGAAAAGAUAUAUACACAUAAUAGCCGCACUUGAACAAGUUCUUGACCUAAAUUCAACUACUUUUGAAGAUAUAGUUGGUAGGUUAAAAGCCUAUGAAGAAAGGAUUUGUGAUGAAGAAGACAAUCAAGAGGACCAAGGUAAAUUGUUGUAUGCAAACUCUGAAACACAACCCUGGUACUCAAACAGAGGAAGAAGUCAAGGAGGCCGACGUGGUAGAGGAAGAGGACGUUCUGGUUAUGUCCAAAAUAAUAAUUACCAACAGAACAAUGGAAAUUACAGAGAUGCAAGUAAGAUAACGUGCUAUAGGUGUGACAAGCUAGGACACUAUGCCUCUGAUUGCCCGGACAGGUUACUUAAACUUCAGGAGACUCAAGAAAUUAAGAAUAUUGAAACACAAGAAGCAGACGCACUAAUGAUGCAUGAGAUUGUGUAUUUGAAUGAGAAGAAUGUUGUUCCAAACAAAUUUGAAGCAAGUUCAGAUAAUGAGAACGUUUGGUACUUGGAUAAUGGUGCUAGCAACCAUAUGUCAGGAAUAUUAGCCUAUUUUUCAACAAUUGAUGAAUCAAUUACAGGCAAGGUUAGAUUUGGGGAUGAUUCUCGGAUUGAUAUCAAAGGAAAAGGCUCAAUUAUGUUUAUUGCUAAGAAUGGAGAUCGAAGAACUCUUAAUGAUGUAUACUACAUCCCAGAUUUAAAAAGCAACAUUGUGAGCCUUGGUCAGGCCACUGAGUCAGGAUGUGAUGUUAGAAUGAGAGAUGAUCAUUUAACACUCUGUGACAGAGAAGGGAAGUUACCAGUUAAAGCUAAAAGAUCGAAAAAUCGGCUUUACAAAGUCAUUUUAAAAGUUGAUAAUACUAAAUGUCUGCAAAUUGGUAUCUCAAGCAUCUCAUCCAAGUGGCAUGCUAGACUAGGGCAUAUUGGAACAGAGACCAUGAAGACAAUGGUAGAAAAGGAACUUGUGUUUGGCAUUCCACAUAUCAAAAUAGAAAAGGAAAUAUGCUCUUCAUGUCUCCUUGGAAAGCAGGCAAGGCAGUCUUUUCCACAAGCUUCAUCAUUCAGAGCAAAAGGUAUACUUGAACUCAUUCAUGGGGAUCUUUGUGGACCAAUCACACCAUCCACACCAUCAAAGAACAGGUAUAUCUUUGUUUUAAUUGAUGACUAUUCAAGAUACAUGUGGUCAGUACUUCUAAAAGAGAAAAGUGAAGCUUUCAACAAGUUCAAAAUUUUCAAAACUAGCGUUGAACAAGAAACCGGAGCUACAAUAAAGACAUUUCGAACUGAUAGAGGGGGUGAAUUCUUGUCUGCUGAAUUUCAAGCUUUCUGUGAUGCAUCUGGCAUACAGAGACACCUAACCGCACCAUACUCUCCUCAACAAAACGGAAUCGUUGAAAGGAGGAACAGAACAUUAAUGGGAAUGACUAGAAGCAUUUUGAAGCAUAUGGGGGUUCCAAAUUACUUAUGGGGAGAAGCCAUAAGACAUGCUACCUAUAUAAUCAAUAGAGUUUCAACAAGAACAUUGGCUCAUCAGACUCCAUAUGAAGCAUUCAAGAAGAAGAAACCAAACAUUGAACAUAUAAGAGUUUUUGGUUGCAUAGGAUAUGCAAAAACAGAACAUGUACAUCUCAAGAAGCUUGAUGAUCGAUCAAAAAUGCUAGUACACUUAGGAACUGAACCAGGCUCCAAAGCCUAUAGGUUGCUUGAUCCAGCAAAACAAAGAAUUGUAGUCAGCAGAGAUGUGGUUUUUGAUGAAGAUACAAGCUGGAAAUGGAACAACUCUGAGAAUAAUACCAACUUUGAGAUCACUUUUGGUGAAUAUGGGAAUAAUGGUAUAAAAGAAAGUGCCAUUAACAGUGAAACAGAGAACAUUGAGGACAAUGAAGAAAACAGUGAACCAGAGGGAGAACACAUUUCACCAAACAAAGUCCCUGAUACUCCAGAACAACCAAAACUAAGGAGGUCUGAAAGAGAAAUAAAGAAGCCAAGUUACCUGCAGGACUAUGUUUUACUUGCAGAAUACGAAUGUGAGAGACUUCUUCUUGCCAUAAAUGAAGAACCAUGGGACUAUAACGAGGCUAAAGAAUCAAAAGAAUGGAGGGAUGCAUGUACAGAAGAGAUUACUUCUAUAGAGAAAAACAGAACAUGGGAUUUGGUGGAUCUUUCCAUAGGAGCAAAACCAAUAGGUCUAAAGUGGGUGUUCAAGAUUAAGAGAAACGCUGAUGGGAGCAUAAAUAAAUACAAAGCAAGACUUGUGGCAAAAGGAUACGUGCAAAAACAUGGGAUUGACUUCGAUGAAGUCUUUGCUCCAGUGGCCCGUAUAGAGACCAUUCGAUUCAUUCUUGCUUUAUCUACUUCUAAUGGGUGGGAAAUACACCAUCUUGACGUAAAAACAGCAUUUCUCCAUGGAGAAUUGAAAGAAGUUGUUUAUGUCUCACAGCCUGAAGGAUUUGUAACAGAAGGAAGUCAAGACAAAGUAUACAGAUUGAACAAAGCUCUUUAUGGAUUAAAACAAGCUCCGAGAGCUUGGAAUACAAAACUAAAUACUAUUCUUCUGGAAUUAGGCUUUGCUAAAUGUUCAAAAGAACCGUCUAUAUACCGAAAGAAAGAAAGAGAAGAGUUUCUGGUUGUAGCUGUCUAUGUGGAUGAUCUACUUGUUACAGGCUCAGACUUGAAAAUAAUAUUAGAGUUUAAAAAAGGCAUGGCAAGAAACUUUGAGAUGAGUGAUCUAGGAAAGCUCACUUACUACUUAGGAAUUGAAGUUACUCAGAGUGAGAAUGGUAUUCUACUAAACCAAGAAAGAUAUGCAAAGAAAAUCCUGGAGGAAACUAGAUUUGCAGACUGCAAUGCAGUUCAUGUACCAAUGUGUGCAAAUUUAAAGAUAAGUAAAGCACCAGAAGAGAAAAAUAUUGAUGAAAAGGAGUAUAGAAGAAGCAUUGGUUGUCUCAAAUAUUUACUUCAUACUAGACCAGACCUCUCAUACUGUGUUGGAGUUCUGAGCAGGUACAUGCACGAGCCUAAGGAGUCUCAUGGAGCUGCAUUGAAACAAAUUCUAAGGUAUUUGCAGGGAACUAGAUCAUAUGGACUUUGUUUUGGCAGAGGAAACAAAACAGAAUUAAUAGGAUUCAGUGACAGUAGUCACAAUGUUGAUGAGGAUGAUGGAAGAAGUACUACAGGUCACAUAUUUUAUCUCAAUGACUGUCCUAUAACAUGGUGCUCGCAGAAGCAAGAAACUGUUGCACUCUCAUCCUGUGAAGCUGAGUUUAUGGCUGCUACUGAGGCUGCCAAACAAGCCAUUUGGCUCCAAGAACUUUUGAAUGAAGUAACUGAGGAACAAUGUGAUAAAGUACUGAUUCUUAUUGACAAUAAGUCAGCUAUAGCACUUACUAGGAACCCAGUUUUCCAUGGCCGGAGCAAACACAUCCACAAAAGAUAUCAUUUCAUUCGGGAGUGCAUUCAAAAUGAACUAGUUGAUGUGGAUCAUGUUCCCGGAGAAAUUCAGAAAGCUGAUAUACUUACAAAGGCUCUUGGGAGAAUCAGAUUUAAAGAAAUGAGGGAUCUUAUUGGUGUUCAAGAUGUGAGGAUUAAAGACUUCAAGCUUAAGAGGGAGAUUGUUGAAUAAGCUUGAAGAAUUGAAGAUAACUUGAAGAGGAAGUCUUUUGUUUAAAACCAAGUUAUGGAUAAUUAGAGAUAAUAUUAAGAAUAUAUUAGGAGUUAUCUAAUAUGUUGUAAUUCCUAUUAGGGUGAGGAAUUGUUUCCUCCUAUAAAUAGAGGUCGAGUUAUGACAUUAGGAGAUAUGAGAGUUUAUGAGUUGUAGAGAGAACUUGAGAGAUUAAGGUUUUGGAUGUAUGUUUUGAGUUAGUUUCAUACAAUAAAAGAGAGAGUCUUUUAUAUUCAUAACCUUGAUAUUGUUCUUAAAGCUUUUGGAUACAAGAAAACAUUUCAUAAUUUUAAUUUUAUGUUUUUAUUUAGUGAUUAUACAUAUUACUAAAUAAACUUUUUGAUUAAAAUUAUAUUUUUUAAUAUAAAAUAAAUAAUAUAGUAAAAAUAUGAAUUUUUUUUCAAUGUCCAAAUCAAAUUAAACAAGUCUCUAUCUAUAGAAUAUGAAAAAUGAUGAAUUUUGGUGUGAAUUAUUUAUGUAUAUAAUAUAAUAUAGCAUAAAAUAAUUGAGUCUAAGUAAUUGGGAUGAAAAAAAAAAUAAAAAAUCUUAAUAGCCAAUGAAAACACAGCACAUGACAAAGAAUACCCCACCCAACCAAAAUUCACGGUGUUGAUAAAUUACAACACCAAAUUUGCCACAUCCUUUACAACUUUUAUUAAAACAACCAUUGCACUAUUUUCAACUGUUGAAUAUUUUUAUCAACAUACCCAUUGUAAGAGCAUAUGCAAGCAAGCAACACUUGGUAUGUUCUUAAGGGUUUUAAAAUAAUAAAAAUGUUAAAUAGUGGAUACAACUGUUCUUAAAAUUAUAAAAACAGUUUGCAGGAUAAGUUAGAACUGUUCUACCACUGUUCAUCUUAUUUCCUAUUUUUAAAUCCUAAGAACACACUUAAAAGUUUCCCCCUUGCGAAUGGUCUAAGUAGUCUUAUAAAGAUCUUAAAACUCAUUUUUAUUAAAACAUACAUCUGAAUUAAUAACUAAUCUCGUAGGAAUGAGAUCAAAUCUUGUUCUUACAACAUAUUAACGGCAAAUCCACAAUGUUUUUUUCUUUUGUUUUU